rnacentral:rRNA from 1 species
CGCUGGCGGCAUGCUUUACACAUGCAAGUCGAACGGCAGCACGGGCUUCGGUCUGGUGGCGAGUGGCGAACGGGUGAGUAAUAUAUCGGAACGUACCCAAGAGUGGGGGAUAACGUAGCGAAAGUUACGCUAAUACCGCAUACGAUCUAAGGAUGAAAGUGGGGGAUCGCAAGACCUCAUGCUCCUGGAGCGGCCGAUAUCUGAUUAGCUAGUUGGUGAGGUAAAGGCUCACCAAGGCGACGAUCAGUAGCUGGUCUGAGAGGACGACCAGCCACACUGGAACUGAGACACGGUCCAGACUCCUACGGGAGGCAGCAGUGGGGAAUUUUGGACAAUGGGCGCAAGCCUGAUCCAGCAAUGCCGCGUGAGUGAAGAAGGCCUUCGGGUUGUAAAGCUCUUUUGUCAGGGAAGAAACGGCAGGAGCUAAUACCUCUUGCUAAUGACGGUACCUGAAGAAUAAGCACCGGCU